AUGGCGCUUGGGACUCCUGGCUCGGGGAAGACGGCCGCAUGGUUGACGACGGGAGCGAAGAGGGGGAAGGCAGGCGGUGAGGAUCGGCGGACGCCGGUCCAUGGCGAGGCAGCAGCACGGCGGAGGCGGCUGGAGGCGGAGCAUGGAGCAGCAGCGGCGACAGGGUGGCGCGGCCAUGGGAUCGAGCGCGGAGAAGCAGGGCGUGGGAGGAGGAAGGCCAUGGCGCUGCUGUGGUUACCCAGCGGCAAGGUAGAGGGGCCGCGGGAGGCGAAAUGGCGCGGCGGCGGCGUGGUUCUGCGGUUGGAGGGGUCGCCGGCGCUGGCAGCGGCGGCAGGGGCGCGAAGGCCACGAGGAGCUGCGGAAGAGAAGGAAGGGGCGGUGCGACGGCGCGACGGGGAUGGACGGAGCCAGUGGAGAUGCUGGUUUUUGAAGAGUCCAAAAAUAUUGAGAUUUUAG
rnacentral:rRNA from 1 species